rnacentral:tRNA from 1 species
UGGGUCGUCGCCAAGCGGUAAGGCCCUGGGUUUUGAUCCCAGUAUGCGCAGGUUCGAAUCCUGCCGACCCAGCCA